GUGGUGAGGUUCCGUCGCAGUAGCAACAGCAGGCCAGUGGCUAGGCAAGGGCAGCAACCGUUUGCCACCAGAUGCAGGGACAGUGAAGCAAAACCGUCACCGUCGUUGUCCGCAAAAACUCCGCCAGCGAAAGAUGUACGACCAGUGAGACCAGCAACACCCAGUCGUCACCUUCCGCUCGGAUAGGACCAAGCAUUGGAGGAAGCAGGAAAGAACGAGCGAGACAGAGGCAGAGCGAGUGGUGUCACAACCAAUAGCAAUACCUUUUCUCCCUGACAAUUCAGCCUAUGUCUGAGGUCAAAUGCAUAUCGCAGUGUAAGGAGAUACUCGUUCUAACUUGAUCUUCAACGACAACCCCUGCACAACUAGCCACAGCCACAGCGUUGGUGGAAUUCCAAGAUCUCAAUCCACCGUGUCAGCUUCCAUCAAUCAAUCGUGCCGUGGCCUCG